rnacentral:tRNA from 1 species
UCCCUGGUGGCUCAGAGGUUAAAGCGUCUGCCUGAAAUGCAGGAGACCCGGGUUUGAUCCCUGAGUCGGGGA